CUCAGUGUGUGGGAUGUUGCUAUGAGCUACGAGCUGAAAAUAUUUACAAACAAUCGGUUUCAGUGCGUUGAGCUUCAUUUUUCUGUUUUCAGAGAGGGAUUAAUUUUAUCAUUUCGUCACUGCCUUCAGAAAGAAAACAUCAAAUCAAUUCUCGGUUUAAUCUCUAAUUGUGAUCAUACACUCUGAAAUAAAGGGUAGUUUGGACGUUAGUGACAGCAACACCGGAAAUCACUUUGCGCAUGCGUGUUAGGGUUAGGUUGGGUAUUAACACAAAAAAUAACGAAGAAACGUAUUUUAUGGUUACUUUUGUCGAUUUGAAGCCUUUUAAUAUGAUUUUAUUGUUUCCUCACGCACUCUCCUUGAACGAUAACCUCGCGAGAUUUCGUCAACAAAUGGACUUUUCCUUGUUGCUGAUAUGGUACCACGUGAGAGUAGCCGACAUGUUUUAUGUCUUUAUUAUAUUUAACCUGGAAAGAAUAAAUAGGGCAGCUUUAAAACAUAUUUUAAAGUACUUUGCUGUUUUUUAAAUAUAUUUAUUGCUGCAUUUACUCAUUUUAUAAUUACAGGCAUUUAUUUAAUGUGUGUAUGUAUGUCUAAACUUGUUUUUCAAUAAUAUUGGUGAUUUCUACAUAGACCAUUACCCGUAAGACACUUCAAAUCAAACAUCUGUCUGAAGGGACGUGGAGCUCAGAGACUGUGGUCUCCUCAAAGUCAUACUGCCCCCUGCUGUUCAGCUAAAUGUAGUGUAAAUGCCAAAUAUGGCACUCUGCCUUUCAUGACUGAAUCCCAAAUGGCUCCAUGGGAGCAGGAAGAUGGUGUAAUCUGCUUUAUCCUUCUACGGGGUCACAGGCAAGCUGGAGCCUAUCCCAGCUGACUACAGGCGAAAGGUGGGGUACACCCUGGACAAGUCGCCAGGUCAUCACAGGGCUGACACAUUAGUCUGGCUAACGCGACUUCAAAGCUCUGCGAGCAUUUGGUCUGGCAAAGAUAUUAAGCCCAACCAUUUCCCAAAGCGCGUGGUUGACCCGCCUCCCUGAAAUGCCUCAGUUUGCUACUGGUCGAAGCCAGAAAAGGCUGUGACGAAGCUUAAACCAAUCACAUCACUCUUUCCUCUGACGUAUGUGACGCGACGGAAACUGCUUGAGUAACAGGAAGAAGAUAAAUACCUCCAGGGCUGCUCUUUGCUCUGUUUUCAAUGAGAACUUCCUGUUGAAUGCUUUCAAUACAGCAUCUACCGCUGUGUCAAAGGCUUGCCGCUGCUCCAUGUUCGUAAUGUUUCUAGUGAAUGAAGCGCUUCCGGCAUAGAUUCUGUAAACAAUCUAUGGCUUCCGGUCACAGUUCUACUACGUCACUGCCUUGAACACGCCUCUACCCAGGGCCGUUGGAGAUGCUCAAAGUUGAUUGGCUCCCGAUUUUUUGGGAGCUUGGAAGAGCUGGAGAUAGCUUGCCUUGCCAGACUAAGCUCGCAACAGGCCCUCAUGUUGCAUCACACUUAGGAUGGGCGGGCCCAGGCUACUGACACAUAGACACAGACAACCAUUCACACUCACAUUCACACCUACGGUCAAUUUAGAGUCACCAGUUAACCUAACCUGCAUGUCUUUGGACUGUGGGGGAAACCGGAGCACCCAGAGGAAACCCACGCAGACACGGGGAGAACAUGCAAACUCUGCACAGAAAGGCCCUCGCCGGCCACAGGGCUCGAACCCGGACCUUCUUGCUGUGAGGCGGCAGCGCUAACCACUACACCACCGUGCCACCAUGCAUGGUUCUAUGUUUAUCAUUUUUGCUUUCCUCAGUAACAACAAUUACAGUGUAUAAAUUUACAAAUAAAUCAUUCACAUUUCA